rnacentral:tRNA from 1 species
GGUUGAGUGGUCAAGUGGUUAAGACGGAACCCUCUCAAGGUUCAAUCACGGGUUCGAUUCCCGUCUCGACUA